rnacentral:rRNA from 1 species
CAGUAGCCGCGGGAACACGGAGGAUCCAAGCGUUAUCCGGAAUCAUUGGGUUUAAAGGGUCCGUAGGCGGUCUUGUAAGUCAGUGGUGAAAGCCCAUCGCUCAACGGUGGAACGGCCAUUGAUACUGCAGGACUUGAAUUAUUGGGAAGUAACUAGAAUAUGUAGUGUAGCGGUGAAAUGCUUAGAGAUUACAUGGAAUACCAAUUGCGAAGGCAGGUUACUACCAAUUGAUUGACGCUGAUGGACGAAAGCGUGGGUAGCGAACAGGAUUAGAGACCCCCGUAGUCCCUGUCUCUUAUAC